rnacentral:rRNA from 1 species
CGAUAGUGAAAUAGUACCGUGAGGGAAAGGUGAAAAGUACCCCGGGAGGGGAGUGAAAAGAACAUGAAACCAUAAACUUACAAGCAGUAGGAGGACGACUAAAACGUCUAACUUCGUGCCUGUUGAAGAAUGAGCCGGCGACUUAUAAGUAGUGGCAGGUUAAAGCAGAGAAUGCUGAAGCCAUAGUGAAAGCGAGCCUGAAUAGGGCGUACGUCACUGUUUAUAGACCCGAACCCGGAUGAUCUAACCAUGGCCAGGUUGAAGCUUAGGUAAUACUAAGUGGAGGACCGAACCGACUGAUGUUGAAAAAUCAGCGGAUGAGUUGUGGUUAGGGGUGAAAUGCCAAUCGAAUUCGGAGCUAGCUGGUUCUCCCCGAAAUGCGUUUUGGCGCAGCGGUAAAUGUUAUAAUUUAGGGGUAAAGCACUGUUACGUAUGCGGGCUGGUAAUUCGGUACCAAAUCGUUGCAAACUAAGAAUACUAAAUGGAUAAUUUACCAGUGAGACUGUGGGGGAUAAGCUUCAUUGUCAAGAGGGAAACAGCCCAGAGCACCAGUUAAGGCCCCAAAAUAAUUACUAAGUGGCAAAGGAGGUGGGAGUGCAGAAACAAUCAGGAGGUUUGCUUAGAAGCAGCAAUCCUUUAAAGAGUGCGUAAUAGCUCACUGAUCGAGUAAACCUGCGCCGAAAAUGUACGGGACUAAGUAAUUUGCCGAAACUGUGCGAUAUAUUGAAUAUAUCGGUAGGGGAGCGUUCUGUUGUAGGUUGAAGCAUUAACGUAAGUGGGUGUGGACGAAGCAGAAGUGAGAAUGUCGGCUUGAGUAGCGAAAACAUUGGUGAGAAUCCAAUGCCCCGAAAACCUAAGGUUUCCCCCGGAAGGCUCGUCCGCGGGGGGUGAGUCAGGACCUAAGGCGAGGUCGAAAGACGUAGUCGAUGGACAAUAGGUUAAUAUUCCUAUACCGUUUUUUAUUGGCAACGAGGGACGAAGAAGGCUAAACUUAUCCAGAUAGUGGUCACUGGUCCAAGCAUUCAAGGUUAUGAGAAAUAGUGAAAAUAUUUUGAGCUGAGAUGUGAUGGGGAGAUACUUAGUAUUGAAGUAGUUGAUGUCAUACUUCCAAGAAAAGCUUGCACUGUCAUAAAUAGAAAACGCCUGUACCCUAAACCGACACAGGUGGGUAGGUAGAGUAUACUAAGGGGCGCGAGAUAACUCUCUCUAAGGAACUCGGCAAAAUAACUCCGUAACUUCGGGAGAAGGAGUGCCUUAUUUAAUAAGGUUGCAAUAACAAGAUCCAAGCAACUGUUUACCAAAAACACAGGUCUCCGCUAAGUCGUAAGACGAUGUAUGGGGGCUGACGCCUGCCCAGUGCCAGAAGGUUAAAGAAGUUGGUUAGCAUUAGCGAAGCUGAUAACUGAAGCCCUGGUGAACGGCGGCCGUAACAAUAACGGUCCUAAGGUAGCGAAAUUCCUUGUCGGGUAAGUUCCGACCUGCACGAAUGGUGUAACCAUGGCCACGCUGUCUCCACCCGAGACUCAGUGAAAUUGAAAUCGCAGUGAAGAUGCUGUGUACCCGCACCUAGACGGAAAGACCCCGUGAACCUUUACUACAGCUUGGCACUGAACAUU